rnacentral:rRNA from 1 species
AAUGGGUCAGCGACUUAUAUUCUGUAGCAAGGUUAACCGAAUAGGGGAGCCGAAGGGAAACCGAGUCUUAACUGGGCGUUAAGUUGCAGGGUAUAGACCCGAAACCCGGUGAUCUAGCCAUGGGCAGGUUGAAGGUUGGGUAACACUAACUGGAGGACCGAACCGACUAAUGUUGAAAAAUUAGCGGAUGACUUGUGGCUGGGGGUGAAAGGCCAAUCAAACCGGGAGAUAGCUGGUUCUCCCCGAAAGCUAUUUAGGUAGCGCCUCGUGAAUUCAUCUCCGGGGGUAGAGCACUGUUUCGGCAAGGGGGUCAUCCCGACUUACCAACCCGAUGCAAACUGCGAAUACCGGAGAAUGUUAUCACGGGAGACACACGGCGGGUGCUAACGUCCGUCGUGAAGAGGGAAACAACCCAGACCGCCAGCUAAGGUCCCAAAGUCAUGGUUAAGUGGGAAACGAUGUGGGAAGGCCCAGACAGCCAGGAUGUUGGCUUAGAAGCAGCCAUCAUUUAAAGAAAGCGUAAUAGCUCACUGGUCGAGUCGGCCUGCGCGGAAGAUGUAACGGGGCUAAACCAUGCACCGAAGCUGCGGCAGCGACACUAUGUGUUGUUGGGUAGGGGAGCGUUCUGUAAGCCUGUGAAGGUGUACUGUGAGGUAUGCUGGAGGUAUCAGAAGUGCGAAUGCUGACAUAAGUAACGAUAAAGCGGGUGAAAAGCCCGCUCGCCGGAAGACCAAGGGUUCCUGUCCAACGUUAAUCGGGGCAGGGUGAGUCGACCCCUAAGGCGAGGCCGAAAGGCGUAGUCGAUGGGAAACAGGUUAAUAUUCCUGUACUUGGUGUUACUGCGAAGGGGGGACGGAGAAGGCUAUGUUGGCCGGGCGACGGUUGUCCCGGUUUAAGCGUGUAGGCUGGUUUUCCAGGCAAAUCCGGAAAAUCAAGGCUGAGGC